UGCCAUCUAGGUCUCAAACUUUCUAUAAAGUCUAUUAGAAACACAGAUGCCCUGUGUAAAUGGAUUUCAUGGACAUCAAGGGAAAGAAGUAGUGCUAAGAUGUCUGAAUCAUUAUAGUCUGAACAGAAACAGACUAUGGAAUCAGAAGACCUGUAAAAUGAACUCAUUCUUCUAAAGUAUAAGUUCAGAGCCAAAGGCAUGAGGAAAGAAAACAGUAAAUCAACUCCUCCCAGCUUCUGGACUCAGACCCCCCAGAGAUGCCAGGAAGAGCCAGGACUUCUACGAAAGAGGCAAAGGAGUUGAGAAUGCCAGUUUGUUUUUAAGUCUCUCCUGCCCAGAUUUACUAAUACCUGGAGCUUGGAUUUAUUCAGAGCAUUUGGCCAGGGGAAGGGUGUGGGGGAUCUACUGAACCUCUGCAGGAAGUGAGGGGAAUAUCGAAAGCUGGAACCACCCUUUGAUGCCAUGAAAACAACUUCUCCACCCUUCCUCCUUUCCCUCCAUCUCGUCUGAUCAUGGAGGCAUCUUCUACAGAGUUUUCCACUGCAGUCCUCUGGUAAAGUAAGACUCUGAGACUCUGAUUCUGCUGCUUCCUUCACUCUAUAAUUUCCGAAACUACUUGGGUAACUUUUCUUUUUCCUACAUGGAAGUCCUUCUGUGCACCCAUAAAAUCCAGAGUAAAUGUAGAGGACCCAUCACUCUCUAUCACUACAUGUCCAAAGACUCUCCUACCAGGUAAAAUAUCAUUUAUUCCUUUGCUUGUCAUGAAAUACAAUGACUGAACCCAUACUCUAUGCUCAGAAAAGAAAGUCAAACUCUGAUCCGCAAGGAUGAUUCAUAGACAGCGAAAACCCUGGCAAAUAAAGAACUCUAUUGAGACGUACAUUUGCAAUGCCAAGUAAGCAGGUUUAUUGAGAAAAUACAGAGCGAGACAAGUUCCCUUCCUCAGAGGCACAGAAACAGAAGCCAGAAGACACAGCAGCAAGGUCAAAACAUGUUAAAACCACCAGAGACUGGGAUAUGGGGAGUAAAGCUUCUGGAAACUUCCAGAGGCAUAUGCGCCACCAGUGAUCAACCCUUAAAAUAAGCUUGGUGCUAGCCAGAAAAAUCAUAGACUGCCAAAGGCAGCUUCUUCAGAGCUAGCAGCCAAAGCAGUCAGGCAGUCAGAACAGUGGUCAGCAAUGAAGAGUUGUUCAGGGACAGGCAGCAUGCUGGACGAGCCUGGAAACACCGCUGGCAGGUCCUGGAGUCUUGAUUCGCUCACUGGCUCCUACACACUUAGCAAGUUCUUCGACAGCUGGACAUGCAGGACCGCUGGUAUGUCCUGGAGACCCCGCAGGCUGGUUGGCAGACAGUGGAGACUCCUCCCACUGGUUGGCACACAGUAGAGAUGCCACCCACGGGCUGACAGCCCCUGGAGACAAAGUUGCAACCAUUUAGACACAUCAUUUUGACUGACUAUAAGUUGCAACAGUGAAGAAACUCCACACAAUUCUACAACCUUGUUAUAUGAGAUCAACAAAUCAUCCCUUCUUUGGCAUGUAAGAAAGAUCUGGCCAGCAGCUAUCACCAUGUAGUUACAUGCAACAUGAAGUUUCAACUCCAGGAAAAGCCUUAGGAGGAUUAUCCUCAUGUCUGUAGAGUGUGAAGUGAGGGAGGUGUGGUGAGAGCUGGUGAGGAGAGAUUAAAGACCUGCUACCCAUUAUCUUCAUCACUGAUGGAGAAUUUGCUCUCGGUUGUAAAAAACAAUCUAAGCCUUAUACAAUAAUUAUCACAGGCUGCAACUGAGCAAUUCUUUCAUUCAAAACUGAAUCACAGCAAUCACUUACAAGGCCAAGCGUUUGAGAAUAAAAUGAAUUAAGCAUGUGUGGGAGGCUGAACGUUUGAUAUGCAAGAAGGAUAUUAUUCAUCACAAAGUUGGUAAUAAUGUUGACCAAUGCCAGUUCAAAAAACCUACUUAGUCUCAUCAAUGGGAGAAGAGUGGACUUGCUGAAAAAUUAAUAAAAAUUAAAUGAGAUUUUGUCAUUCUGUAUUUUUCCAGGAUGCUCACACUCUCAAAUUGAAGCUAUUCAUUAUCUCUUAAGAAAUAUAAAAAAGGAACUCAAAAUUUAAGCACAGAACAUAAUGGUUGUUUUAAAAAUUAAAUACAUCUUGGCUGAAUUGUUCUGCCUUUUUUUUUCUCCACUUCACACAGACCUCUGAGUUGAAUCACCAGAAUCCUUAUUAACCAAGACAUUAUGAACCCCCAAAGGCUGAGUGAUUUGCACCACAAAACUGAACUGAAAUUUAUUUUCCAAACUCUUUUCAAAAAGCAUUAAUCACAGAACGUCUGAGUCUUUGGGACUGGAGGGCAGAAAGCAGAAGGUGAGAGACACAAAUGAAAACCAGCAAAAUAACUUCUGCAUUUAGAACUUGAGAAUACCAGUCACCAGCUACAUGACUUCUAUAAAAAUAAACCUUCCAAGGACAGCGUCAAGGCUGAAAAAUCCUAAAUUAAACCACCAUUCUCUUACUCUUGAUACCUGUCUGCAAAUUCAUGUAAUUUUUCAUAUGUGCCUCCA